UUGAACGCUGGCGGCAGGCCUAACACAUGCAAGUCGAACGGUAACAGAAAGCAGCUUGCUGCUUUGCUGACGAGUGGCGGACGGGUGAGUAAUGUCUGGGAAACUGCCUGAUGGAGGGGGAUAACUACUGGAAACGGUAGCUAAUACCGCAUAACGUCGCAAGACCAAAGAGGGGGACCUUCGGGCCUCUUGCCAUCGGAUGUGCCCAGAUGGGAUUAGCUAGUAGGUGGGGUAACGGCUCACCUAGGCGACGAUCCCUAGCUGGUCUGAGAGGAUGACCAGCCACACUGGAACUGAGACACGGUCCAGACUCCUACGGGAGGCAGCAGUGGGGAAUAUUGCACAAUGGGCGCAAGCCUGAUGCAGCCAUGCCGCGUGUAUGAAGAAGGCCUUCGGGUUGUAAAGUACUUUCAGCGGGGAGGAAGGGAGUAAAGUUAAUACCUUUGCUCAUUGACGUUACCCGCAGAAGAAGCACCGGCUAAAUCCGUGCCAGCAGCAGAGGUAAUACGGAGGGGGGAAGCGUUAAUCGGAAUUACUGGGCGUAAAGCGCACGCAGGCGGUUUGUUAAGUCAGAUGUGAAAUCCCCGGGCUCAACCUGGGAACUGCAUCUGAUACUGGCAAGCUUGAGUCUCGUAGAGGGGGGUAGAAUUCCAGGUGUAGCGGUGAAAUGCGUAGAGAUCUGGAGGAAUACCGGUGGCGAAGGCGGCCCCCUGGACGAAGACUGACGCUCAGGUGCGAAAGCGUGGGGAGCAAACAGGAUUAGAUACCCUGGUAGUCCACGCCGUAAACGAUGUCGACUUGGAGGUUGUGCCCUUGAGGCGUGGCUUCCGGAGCUAACGCGUUAAGUCGACCGCCUGGGGAGUACGGCCGCAAGGUUAAAACUCAAAUGAAUUGACGGGGGCCCGCACAAGCGGUGGAGCAUGUGGUUUAAUUCGAUGCAACGCGAAGAACCUUACCUGGUCUUGACAUCCACGGAAGUUUUCAGAGAUGAGAAUGUGCCUUCGGGAACCGUGAGACAGGUGCUGCAUGGCUGUCGUCAGCUCGUGUUGUGAAAUGUUGGGUUAAGUCCCGCAACGAGCGCAACCCUUAUCCUUUGUUGCCAGCGGUCCGGCCGGGAACUCAAAGGAGACUGCCAGUGAUAAACUGGAGGAAGGUGGGGAUGACGUCAAGUCAUCAUGGCCCUUACGACCAGGGCUACACACGUGCUACAAUGGCGCAUACAAAGAGAAGCGACCUCGCGAGAGCAAGCGGACCUCAUAAAGUGCGUCGUAGUCCGGAUUGGAGUCUGCAACUCGACUCCAUGAAGUCGGAAUCGCUAGUAAUCGUGGAUCAGAAUGCCACGGUGAAUACGUUCCCGGGCCUUGUACACACCGCCCGUCACACCAUGGGAGUGGGUUGCAAAAGAAGUAGGUAGCUUAACCUUCGGGAGGGCGCUUACCACUUUGUGAUUCAUGACUGGGGUG
rnacentral:rRNA from 1 species